ensembl:lncRNA
AUACGUUGCGUUGGUUAAAAAUCGACCUGACCUUGCUCCCAGCCCUCUCUGGGUCGUCAUCCGUCCUGUGGGGUUGGAAAGUGGGAAUGGUGGCACCCCGGGCCCCCAGCGUCUGGGCCUCCGCUGUCUGUAGCCACCCUCCCCGGCCUUGCCUGCCAGCACUGAUGCUUUGCCCCUGUGUGGGUGGGCCCAUGGGACAAGCCUCGAGGCCUUUUCAUUGCUGCUGUCCCCGCCAACUUAAGGUUUUCUGAGAAAGAGGCCCAGGCCUGGAGUCUUCAGAGGUGGGAAUGUGGUUAAUGGGCCGUGCCGGGGUUGUGGGGGACGGGUGUUGAACUCCAGGGCAGUGGUGAUAGAAUCCUCACCAGCACGGUGGGCUGCCUGGUCAACCCUGAGUGGCUGGAGACACCUCCCCUACCAUCAGACAGUGAGAGCAGAGGAGAUGAGGGAGUGUCCUGGUGGACGGGUUACCCACAUCUCCAUCACGUUCUACCCUUGGCAGUGCCACACACAUCUCUCUCUGCUUUUAUGCUGUGCUGGCAACUUGGUCAGGGAUGGGGUUAUUACCAUGAAACCUCAGGGAGGGGGCGAUUUUAUUGCCCUGAUCGUCCAUAUGAGGGAAUGGUGACCUGCUGUAGGAGACUGGCCAUAUCUGAUUUUUAAGCUUGUUUAUCAAAUCUGAGUUUAGCACGUACUUGCUGAGCCAUGUACUCUGAGCAUGUUCGUGUGUAUUGAGCAUAAACAAUUCCCCAGUGUCAGGUAAUACCCAGUCCAUAGUCCCCUACUGUCGACAAUAAUGUAUUCCUCGAGGGUUAUAGACUCAGAAAGGCCAAGUGCCUCAGCUGCAUCAGCCUGAUGGAUCCCUUCAGUCUGUCUUAGUCACAGUACUGCCUCCUACGUUUUCCCUCCGUUUAUGAUCGAAGACUCCCUGGAUACCAGAUGUUGGAGUUUCCCAAAUUCCGGUUUUGGCUGGUUGCAUCAUUGUAGUGUUAACAGACUUCAGGUGUAAAGGGAUUGUUCUGGCUGCUGUUGAGAACAGGCCAUAAGACUCAGGGUAGAAGUGGGGAGACCUGUUAGGAGGGCUGCCUCUGGUGAAUUGGAGGAGGGGGCAGGUAAGGAGCAUAACGUGGGCAGUGGAAUUCGAGAUGCCAUUGGAUGUCUUAUGUAGAGGUGCCAAGUGGGAAGCUGAGUCUAGUGUGGAUCUGGAGGGGCCACAGGUUGGAGAUAAAGGUUGGGAGUAAUUUUAAUGUUGAUGAAGAAGGGAGAAGGGUGGGACCUGAUACCGGGUCCCUGCGUUCAGGGAAGGGAGGAGGAAGCAGGAUAGGGGACUGAGAGCAGUGGAGAGCAAGGUAAGAGAAAGGGCGGCCGGGGAGGGCCCAGGACUAAAGGUUGCUGCAGUGACCAGGAGGAGGCCCAGGCACGCAGAGAGUUUGGCCAGGUGCAGCCCUCAGACCUCUGACUCACCUAGAGGCAACCACUUUCAACUUUUCUGCUGAUACUUUUGUAUUUCUGUUUUUCAAUAUCAUACAUGAACUGUGCUUCUUGGUUCUCCCCUUUGCUUUUUACCCCCAGCCCAACUCAUUUGCACGC